UACGAAGGGGGCUAGCGUUGCUCGGAAUCACUGGGCGUAAAGGGCGCGUAGGCGGCUUUUUAAGUCGGGGGUGAAAGCCUGUGGCUCAACCACAGAAUUGCCUUCGAUACUGGAAAGCUUGAGACCGGAAGAGGACAGCGGAACUGCGAGUGUAGAGGUGAAAUUCGUAGAUAUUCGCAAGAACACCAGUGGCGAAGGCGGCUGUCUGGUCCGGUUCUGACGCUGAGGCUCGAAAGCGUGGGGAGCAAACAGG
rnacentral:rRNA from 1 species